rnacentral:rRNA from 1 species
UACAGGGGGCCCGCGCGUUAAUCGGAAUCACUGGGCUUAAAGGGUGCGUAGGCGGAUCAGGAAGUGUUUCGUGAAAACCCCCGGCUCAACCGGGGAACUGCGGGGCAAACUCCUGAUCUUGAGGGAAGUAUGGGCGGACAGAACUAUCGGUGGAGCGGUGAAAUGCGUAGAUAUCGAUAGGAAUGCCGAUGGCGAAGGCGGUCCGCUGGGCUUCUCCUGACGCUCAGGCACGAAAGCGUGGGGAGCAAACAGG